rfam:Piscirickettsia salmonis strain PM15972A1, complete genome.
UUUGGUGACCAUAGCAAGGUGGUCCCACCUGAUCCCAUCCCGAACUCAGUAGUGAAACACCUUAGCGCCGAUGAUAGUGUGGUUUUUGCCAUGUGAAAGUAGGACAUCACCAAAC